GCAGCAUAAUGAGGAUUGUAUUUGUCCGACUAAUUCAUGAACGGAUUACAUAACCUCCUACUCAUUCUGA